GUGUCAGCAGCCGCGGUAAUACGUAGGUGACAAGCGUUAUCCAGAAUUACUGGGCGUAAAGCGCACGCAAGCGGUAUGACAAGUCUGGCGUGAAAUCCUCUGGCUUAACCAGGGGCGGUCGCUGGAAACUGUUGAACUUGAGGCGAUGAGAGGGGUGCAGAAUUCCCGGUGUAGUGGUGGAAUGCGUAGAUAUCGGGAGGAAUACCAGUGGCGAAAGCGGCACCCUGGCGUCGUACUGACGCACAUGUGCGAAAGCGUGGGGAGCGAACGGGAUUAGAAACCCUAGUAGUCC
rnacentral:rRNA from 1 species